CAUAUUCAUCCUUAGGACUUGAGAGAAUACCUUCUACAUGAAUUGUUAAAUGCCCUUGGUAAAUAUGAAACUAAAUCAAAUCAACUAAUUUUUGAUAUCUGAAGUCUAUAGUAACUAAUAGAAAAACCAGGGCUGGAUAACAUCCAAAUUAGGGGAUAAUCAGAACCUUAGAGCUGUGCUAUUCAAAAUAGUUGCCACUUGGCACACAUAGCUAUUGAGCAUGUGACAGGUGGCUAGUCCCAACGGAGAUGUGCUGUGAGUAUAAAUUGCACAUAGACUUCAAAGACUUAGUACAAAAAGGUGUAAAAAUCACAAUGCUUUUCAUAUUAGUUGCAUUUUAAAACAUUUUUGAUACAUUGGGUUACAAAAAAUAUAUUAUUAAAAUGAAUUUCACCUGUUCGCUUUUGCUUUUUUACUAUGGCUGCCAGAAAACUUAAAAUUAUAUAAACGUAUCAUAAUACUUCUGUUGGACAGCACUGUUCCAAAAAAGAUUUACUAAAUAAACGGAAAAAAGAGAUUGGGGUACAUAUCCCCUUCACCGUCUUUCUGCGAUAGUAUUUAACUCAUUUAUUUGCUUCAUUGAAAAUUUACGAAACUAUUUUGGAAAGUGCAAACCAUUAUGGAAAUCUAACAUAUCUUUCUAAUCAUUGUUCUUAAGAAUGAAAAUGCUUGACUAAUAGAUUUUCUUUUCAGAACACAUUAAAUAUUUACUGAUCUCGGGCUGCUUACCUCUUUGGGGUAAGUCAUCAGGCUGAGUUCAAUUAAAUGCCUCAGUUUCCUCAUCUACGUGCAGGAGUCUCUGAAAGAGAAGGUCUGCUCCCAACACCCACGGAACACAGGACUGCCAGAACAAUGAAUAAUGUGGCCCCAUUGUUGCUGACAGAUGGGAAUCAUUCACUUCUUAGUGUAUGUUUUUUGAAAUGGUUUUGAGUUCACGCCCCCAUUGCGGCGGUUGCCAUGGUCAUAUGCUUUACGGCAUGAGCCCCUUGCCCCUUACUUUGCCUUCUCCGAAAAGAGAGAGCCUUGUUGCCAGUUUCACUAUUGUAAAAAUAUUUUACUAGUCAGUGCUUUUGUAAUCUCUCCUUGUAUUUCCCAUUAAACUGAGUAAUUCAUAGAUCCAGAUAAUAAAAUCUAUCAGAUACAGAAAGAGGCAGAAUCUGAUUCCAUUUCAUUAGAAAGUGCCCUAAGAAAGUCUCUUGCAUGCGGAGUUGCCUCUAAAGUCUUCUCUGGCCCUGGCAAUUCGACAUUUUAAGCUCUUACUUUUGGCAUGGAGGCUCUUUUGCAUUUUUGGUUAGUGGCAGAAACCAAAAUGUCUCCUAGUGAUGUCCACUUUUGUCCAAUAGAAGAAAAGAUGAAUAUUUUGAGGGAUUUUUUUGUGUGUGUGCCAUUUCACCCUCAUCUUUGUUAGUGUAUCUGCACUCCACCUGACCUUUCUUGGUUCUGUUUUUAAUUCUCCUCAUAUACCAGCUUUUAGUGGAGACUGUGUGCUUUAAGUAACGAAGGUCAAAUUUCUGAGCCCUUGUAUGCUCGCCCAGUGAUUUCUAGCCCUCUUUAAUCCUUCCCUACACCAACUGCUGCGGUAAUGAGGGGCAAGGGGCGGCUGAGGAUUGAGGUCACGGGCUUUCAGUUUGUAGUUAUAUAUUUCAUUUCUCUGGUGCUUACGUGGAACAGCUCCUCUUAGUUUCCAAGAGGUGGGUUAAAAAAAAAAAAAAAA
rnacentral:lncRNA from 1 species